rnacentral:rRNA from 1 species
UACAGAGGUCCCGAGCGUUGUUCGGAUUCACUGGGCGUAAAGGGUGCGUAGAUGGCGAGGUAAGUCGGAUGUGAAAGCUCGGAGCUCAACUCCGAAAUGGCAUUGGAAACUACCUUGCUCGAGGGAUGGAGGGGGGGACUGGAAUUUACGGUGUAGCGGUGAAAUGCGUAGAUAUCGUAAGGAAGACCAGUGGCGAAGGCGGGUCUCUGGACAGUUCCUGACGCUGAGGCACGAAGGUCAGGGGGGAGCAAAACGGGG